CAAUUAGCUUAUAGACAAACAUAAGCGCACGCGUUCUGUACAGUUCCAACAAUUCCCUGGUCUAUUCAAAUACACGAUUAGCUUUCCUAUAAGCUUGAAGCCGAACGGACCAAACUUUCGCUGACAGCAAGUUCCAUUCAAAAUGGGAAUUCAUUAAAUGUAAUUUGAUGUGGAUUUGAUGAAAUCACUGAAACGCGUGAAUUGCAGCAAACACGGACUGUGCUCUGCACUGCUCAGCAGUCAGUUAGUCAAUCAGUCAGUCAGUCAAUCAGUAAGCUUUUCGGUCAACAAUUUAUUUUCCUCCAGCCGCGAGGCCAUGCGACUUGUCCUGAACGCCUGCUGGCGUAGCCUUUGACGGAGACAGUGCA
rnacentral:sRNA from 1 species